rnacentral:rRNA from 1 species
ACUGGUGGCUGCGACUGUUUAAUAAAAACACAGCACUCUGCAAACACGAAAGUGGACGUAUAGGGUGUGACGCCUGCCCGGUGCCGGAAGAUUAAAUGAUGGGGUGCAAGCUCUUGAUUGAAGUCCCGGUAAACGGCGGCCGUAACUAUAACGGUCCUAAGGUAGCGAAAUUCCUUGUCGGGUAAGUUCCGACCUGCACGAAUGGCGUAACGAUGGCCACACUGUCUCCUCCCGAGACUCAGCGAAGUUGAAGUGUUUGUGAUGAUGCAAUCUACCCGCGGCUAGACGGAAAGACCCCAUGAACCUUUACUGUAGCUUUGCAUUGGACUUUGAACCGAUCUGUGUAGGAUAGGUGGGAGGCUAUGAAACCGGAACGCUAGUUUCGGUGGAGCCGUCCUUGAAAUACCACCCUGGUUUGUUUGAGGUUCUAACCUUGGCCCGUGAUCCGGGUCGGGGACAGUGCAUGGUAGGCAGUUUGACUGGGGCGGUCUCCUCCCAAAGCGUAACGGAGGAGUACGAAGGUACGCUAGGUACGGUCGGAAAUCGUGCUGAUAGUGCAAUGGCAUAAGCGUGCUUAACUGCGAGACCGACAAGUCGAGCAGGUGCGAAAGCAGGUCAUAGUGAUCCGGUGGUUCUGUAUGGAAGGGCCAUCGCUCAACGGAUAAAAGGUACUCUGGGGAUAACAGGCUGAUACCGCCCAAGAGUUCAUAUCGACGGCGGUGUUUGGCACCUCGAUGUCGGCUCAUCUCAUCCUGGGGCUGUAGCCGGUCCCAAGGGUAUGGCUGUUCGCCAUUUAAAGAGGUACGUGAGCUGGGUUUAAAACGUCGUGAGACAGUUUGGUCCCUAUCUGCCGUGGGCGUUGGAUAUUUGAAGGGGGCUGCUCCUAGUACGAGAGGACCGGAGUGGACGAACCUCUGGUGUACCGGUUGUCACGCCAGUGGCAUCGCCGGGUAGCUAUGUUCGGAAGAGAUAACCGCUGAAAGCAUCUAAGCGGGAAACUCGC